UACGGAGGAGGCUAGCGUUGUUCGGAAUUACUGGGCGUAAAGCGCACGUAGGCGGCUUGGUAAGUUAGAGGUGAAAGCCUGGAGCUCAACUCCAGAAUUGCCUUUAAGACUGCCGAGCUAGCAGGUGAGAGAGGUGAGUGGAAUUCCGAGUGUAGAGGUGAAAUUCGUAGAUAUUCGGAAGAACACCAGUGGCGAAGGCGGCUCACUGGCUCAUACUGGACGCUGAGGUGCGAAAGCGUGGGGAGUAAACAGG
rnacentral:rRNA from 1 species